rnacentral:rRNA from 1 species
CCUACGGGUGGCAGCAGUGGGGAAUAUUGCACAAUGGAGGUAACCCUGAUGCAGCGACGCCGCGUGAGUGAAGAAGUAUUUCGGUAUGUAAAGCUCUAUUAGCAGGGAAGAAAAUGACGGUACCUGACUAAGAAUCCCCGGCUAACUACGUGCCAGCAGCCGCGGUAAUACGUAGGGGGCAAGCGUUAUCCGGAUUUACUGGGUGUUAAGGGAGCGUAGACGGUUAUGAAAGUCUGAAGUGGAAGGCCAAGGGUCAACCAUGGGACUGCUUUGGAAACUGUAAAACUGGAGUACAAGAGAGGUAAGCGGAAUUCCUAGGGUAGCGGUGGAAUGCGUAGAUAUUAGGAGGAACACCAGUGGCGAAGG